GAACUUCUUUGAUAGAAUUCUUCGGAAGGAAAUUGAUUAAGUUUAGUGGCGGACGGGUGAGUAACGCGUGAGUAACCUGCCUUUGAGAGGGGAAUAACUNCCNGAAAGGGAUGCUAAUACCGCAUAACGCAUAGAAGUCGCAUGGCUUAUAUGCCAAAGAUUUAUCGCUCAAAGAUGGACUCGCGUCCGAUUAGCCAGUUGGCGGGGUAACGGCCCACCAAAGCGACGAUCGGUAGCCGGACUGAGAGGUUGAACGGCCACAUUGGGACUGAGACACGGCCCAGACUCCUACGGGAGGCAGCAGUGGGGGAUAUUGCGCAAUGGGGGGAACCCUGACGCAGCAACGCCGCGUGAAGGAUGAAGGUUUUCGGAUUGUAAACUUCUUUUAUUUAGGACGAACAAUGACGGUACUAAAUGAAUAAGCUCCGGCUAACUACGUGCCAGCAGCCGCGGUAAUACGUAGGGAGCAAGCGUUAUCCGGAUUUACUGGGUGUAAAGGGUGCGUAGGCGGCUUGAUAAGUCAGAUGUGAAAUGUAUGGGCUCAACCCAUGCACUGCAUUUGAAACUAUUGAGCUUGAGUGAAGUAGAGGUAGGCGGAAUUCCCUGUGUAGCGGUGAAAUGCGUAGAGAUAGGGAGGAACACCAGUGGCGAAGGCGGCCUACUGGGCUUUAACUGACGCUGAGGCACGAAAGCGUGGGUAGCAAACAGGAUUAGAUACCCUGGUAGUCCACGCUGUAAACGAUGAUUACUAGGUGUGGGGGGUCUGACCCCUUCCGUGCCGGAGUUAACACAAUAAGUAAUCCACCUGGGGAGUACGACCGCAAGGUUGAAACUCAAAGGAAUUGACGGGG
rnacentral:rRNA from 1 species